CAUGGAGGGUGAGAAUCCCGUUCGGUUGAUCAGAUCUUCUUUACGAUACGUCAUCAAAGAGUCAAGUUGUUUGGGAAUGCAGCUUAAAAUGGGAGGUAAAUUUCUCCUAAGGCUAAAUAACGGCGAGAGGCCGAUAGCGAACAAGUACCGUGAGGGAAAGAUGAAAAGAACUUUGAAAAGAGAGUUAAAUAGUACGUGAAAUUGUUGAAAGGGAAACGAUUGAAGCCAGUCGUACCUGCGGGUAAUCAGCCUUUUGGGUGUGAUUAUGUGGAGCGUGAGGAGCUAAUCGCCUUCAUCUUUGCAUAUUCGUGCACUUUGGGUGUACUUGCUCGUGUGGUAGGUUAACAUCAAUUUUGAUCGUCAUAAAAUGACUAGAGGAAUGUAGCUUCGAUCUCGUAUUGAAGUGUUAAUAGCCUUUGGUAGAUGUGAUGAUUAGGAUUGAGGAUUGCAACGGAUACCCUUCGGGGCUACCUGUCUGACCUCUGAAAGUUGCUCUGGUGCUGAAAGCUUGCUUAUGGUAUCAAAGUUGACGUUCAAUAGGUUAGAACGGGAUAAAUUCGUUAAGGAUGUUGACGUAAUGG
rnacentral:rRNA from 1 species